rnacentral:rRNA from 1 species
CUAAGGCCCCUAAGCGUGUGCUAAGUGGGAAAGGAUGUGGAGUUGCUGUGACAACCAGGAGGUUGGCUUAGAAGCAGCCACCCUUUAAAGAGUGCGUAAUAGCUCACUGGUCAAGUGAUUCUGCGCCGACAAUGUAGCGGGGCUCAAGCACACCGCCGAAGCUGUGGCAUUGACACAUUGGUAGGCCUUCGUGGUCCAGCCGUGUUGAUGGGUAGGGGAGCGUCGUGUGGCGAGUGAAGCGGCGGAGUGAUCCAGCCGUGGACGCCACACGAGUGGGAAUGCA